UACGAAGGGGGCUAGCGUUGCUCGGAAUCACUGGGCGUAAAGCGCGCGUAGGCGGAUCUUUAAGUCAGGGGUGAAAUCCCGGGGCUCAACCCCGGAACUGCCUUUGAUACUGGGGAUCUUGAGUUCGAGAGAGGUUGGUGGAACUGCGAGUGUAGAGGUGAAAUUCGUAGAUAUUCGCAAGAACACCAGUGGCGAAGGCGGCCAACUGGCUCGACACUGACGCUGAGGCGCGAAAGCGUGGGGAGCAAACAGG
rnacentral:ncRNA from 2 species